GAAGAAAGAAUUUUUAGCUGUUAUGAGAAGCUGGGGAUUAAGAGGAAAGAAGUAAGUAAGUAUAAAAACUGAAACAGAAGUAUGCAGAAAAGACGGUAGGAACAGAGCAGAAUGCACUUGACUCUGCCUGAGGUGGGGUGAGAAAAUGACCAGAAAAGCAUUGGUGAGGAGAUGAGGGUGGUAGAGAGUCUAGAAAGAUGCAAUGAUGUCUUCCCAGAGAUGAAUGAAGAACACUCUACCAAAGGAAGCCCUGCUUAGAAGGAAACAGGAAAAUGAGGAUGCGGGCCUAGUGGGAAAGUACAAGUACUCUGGCAGUGAUAAUCCAAAGAAGGUAUAAAUGGAAAAUUGUUGGGAGAUUGCAACAGAACUUUGGCAGAGGCCAGAUUUUGAAGGCCCUUAUAUGGAAUGCUUAGGAAUUAUGCUUUAGUCUCCAAGUAGUGGAAACUUCUAAAAAUUUUAAGCAGGGAAGUGUCAUGAUUUCGACUAUUGUAGGAAUUUUACUCAGGUCUUAUUGUAGAGGUGGAUUCAGAAC
rnacentral:lncRNA from 10 species